rnacentral:lncRNA from 1 species
GGCGGUCUUGGGGGGGAAUUAAGGAAAAGGGGGAGCUGCCCUUUGGGCAGCUCGAGAAGGGAGUCAGCGUGAGGGCAGAAGAACAGAGGCAGGGGAGAGACUGACGCGAGAGGACAGGGAAGACUAAGUGUGCGAAAAAAAAAAAUAAGAAAUAAGAAGAUAGAAGCAGAGAGACUGACGAGAGAGGCAGUGUGCAGAAAACAGAGAGGACAGACCGAGGGCAGAAGCAGCAAGCACUCUCCUCUCUCUCGGUUAAAUCUUUCUAAAUCUAUAUUUUAUUUCUGUUUUAAUAAUGUGUAAUUAAAUUUUAUUUUGGCUAGAGGUUAAUUCAAAAACAUGAAUAUAUU